GAUGAUUUUAGAGCUUAGAGAAAUUGGUGUCGCUGUUAAAUUUAAGGCUAACUGAAGGUAUAGUUAGUGAGUAGAGUACUUGCUAAAGAAAACAAGCUGAACUUCGAAGCUACGGACGAUCAUUAACGCGGAAGUGAAGUUUAUCACUUCAUGUGGAAUAAAUCUUGGGAUUGAAUCAUUAAGGUAUUGAAAGUGUAGAACAGUUGCAGCGUUCUUGCUAACGUAGGAAUCACACAGAAGUACCAGAACGAGCACCGUUACACAGUGUAAAUUCUGACGAAAUGAGAGUGCUUUUCCACCGAGAUGACACCUAAACAAAGACAAGACCUUAUCUAAAAGACUUAUGGUCUACCUGUGUAGUGACGGCCGGGAACUAAUCUACUCGUUGGAACAUGGUGGGGUAUACACCCUUUUAAUAAGUCGCGGCGCCAUAUUGAAUAAAUUAUCGAUGACGUCAAUGGCGGAAAGACUCGCCCUAGCCGCUCCAGUGUUUUCCCGCCAUUCGGAAGUCAAAAUGGACGGGGAAGACGAAUCCGACAGAACUAACUCCCAAAUUGCUUGUAUUUGUGAACAGCUCACUUGCGAGGAUAUACCAGGUGCUUCGUUGGUAUUAGAAAAGCUUGAAAAAUAUAAGAAAUGAGCUCAUAUUUUGGUUAAAGUGCCGUGAAAUAAAGAGAAAGUCAGCUGCGACAAAAGCCGAGCUAAUUUCAAAGGUAAGGCACAACUUCGAUAUUCAGCACCAAAUUGUCGACCCUGCUACACGAGAGCAAAAAGAAUGAAAUGCGACAAUAUUGCCCUGAUCAGGAACGCGAAGCAGCAAGCACAGAAGUCAGCCAAGCUUCACAGUCAGUCUCAGAUAUAAUKGAAAACUGGAGUUCAAACACAUCUUAUCUACCAAAGAA